rnacentral:rRNA from 1 species
UUUACGAUAGUAUCUUCAAUGCACCAGUUCCCAAUAGGUUACUGAAGUUAGGCGAAGUUGCGCAAGGUGGAUACCUGGAUGGGUGACCAUUUAAGCAAUCACUUGUGGCACCAAAC